AACCAGGACCACAGACCGACUAGAACCAGGACCACAGACCGACUAGAACCAGGACUAGAAAUUGACUAGAACCAGGACCACAGAUCGACUAGAACCAGGACUAGAAAUUGACUAGAACCAAGACCAGAAACUGACUACAACCAGGACCACAGACCGACUAGAACCAGGACCAGAAACUGACUAGAACCAGCACCACAGACUGACUAGAACCAGGACCACAGACCGACUAGAACCAGGACCACAGACUGACUAGAACCAGGACCACUUCAGUCUGGGACCCCUGGAACAGGACACACAGGAGGUGGCUCUGGUUUCAGUCUGGACGAGGACGCCGACGCUCUGAACCACAGUGAGACCGGAUCCAUGUGGACUAAUGAAGGUUCUGCUGCGGGACUAGACCAGGACCCGGACCAGGACCAAAUCCAGGGUUGAGGACCAGGAUUAGACCAGGUCCAGGAACAGGACCUGGUCCAAAGUUGAGGCUGUGAAACCACCGCAUGAACAUGUGGAGCAGCAGGUCACAGGUCAAAGGUCAAAGGUCAGCGCACCUGUCCUCCUGCGUCCUGUGACCCCUGACCAUGGUGGGCGUGGCCGUGGUGGGCGUGGCCGUGGGCGGCUCCGUCAGCUCCAUUAAAGCUCUGUGGGAGACGAGGAUCCAGAAGAUCAGAGAGGAAGAGGAGGAGCAAAGGAAGAGGACGCCCAGGGGCGGAGCCUCAGGCAGGCUCUGUGUGGGGCUGUGGGAGGACCGGGCGGUUCUGGCUCGGCUGAAGCAGAAGCUGCAGACUGAAGACGGACGGCUGAUCCUGCGCAUCGAACAGGAGGAGUGGAAGACGCUGCCGGGCUGUCUGGUCCAGCUCAGCCAGGUCCAGGAGUGGCAGAUCCACCGGACCGGACUGCAGAAGAUCCCCAGUUUCAUCUCCAGCUUCCAGAACCUCCUGGUUCUGGAUCUGUCACGGAACGGAGUCACAGAGAUCCCCAAACAGAUCGGGAAGCUGAUCCGGCUCAGAGAGCUGCUGCUGAGCUACAACAGAGUCCAGUUUGUCCCAGAAGACCUGGGUCUGUGUGAGAGUCUGGAGAGACUGGACCUGGCCAUGAACCGGGACCUGAACCAGCUCCCAGACCAGAUCCGGAACCUGUCCCGGCUGCACCACCUGGACCUGUCCAUGAACGACUUCACGUCCCUGCCGGACUGUGUGGUGGACCUGCCGGCGCUGGAGUGGUUGGACAUGGGAGGGAACCGGCUGGAGGAGCUACCUGAGGACAUCCACAGGAUGGAACAGCUGCACACGCUGUGGCUCCAGAGGAACCGACUGGAGAGACUGCCAGUGAACAUCAGCAGGAUGAGGAACCUGGACACCCUGGUCCUCAGCAGCAACCGGCUGAAGGACAUCCCCCCACUGAUGGAUGACAUGUCCAACCUCAGGUUUGUGAAUUUCCGUGGAAACCCUCUGACUCUGGACGUGACGCUGCCGUGCAGUAGGACAAAGACGGACGACCAGAAUGAAGACGAGGAUGAGGACGACGACAGGGAGAUGUUUGGACGGGACUUCAUGCGGUUCUACAUCAGAGAGGCCCGAAAGAGGGCGUACGCCGUCCUCAACAUGCACUGCAUCAACCGUUAGUACCAUCAGCCCAGGACAUAGACACGUCCUAACAUCAGCCCAGGACAUAGACACGUCCUAACAUGGACUAAUCACCACUGUGUCUCCAUCUGUCUGUGAGCAUGAGGACAUCUGGACUCACCGUAACCAUGGAAACAUCAGGUCUAACCCUUCACCUUAACUUCAAUAACUUCACUGAAACCUUUACCUGAGCCGAACCAGGACUGGGACAGAGUGGACAGAGUGGACACUGAUAGUGGACAGAGUGGACACUGAUAGUGGACAGGUCCUGUCCUGCUGCAGAUGAAGCUGAUGUUCCGUCUCAGUAGAACCUGUUCUUCCUCUCUGCACCAGCCAACAUCUGGAACCUUCAGAACCUGAACGGGUGUUUGUUCUGCUUUUCCUGAGACUUCAGCCUGGACUGGACUCAGAACCGGACUAAGAACCAGACUCAGACCUGGACUCGGACCUGGACUCGGACCUUGACUCUGCUGCUUUUCUUUCCGCUGAUCAUUGGACAGUUCUUCGUUCUGCUCCAGUUCAGUCUAACGGCUCCAACACAGACGCUCGUGUGGAUUCGUUCACCGGUGCAGAAUCAUAGGGGGUCAAACAUAUGGCCCACGGACCAGAACCAGCCCAUUAAGGGUCUGAUCCGGCCCAAUGGGACAAAUUCAUGAAAUGUAAAAAUUACACUGAAGACAUGAACGAUAAAGGACGUUCGAGGUUCUACAUAUGAUGUAAAGUGGAUCAGAACCAGGACAAUAAGAACAGACGAACCUACAAAUAAUGUCUUCAUUUUAGUGCAAAAAACCCCAAAAACAUUAAAUUAUGAAAAUACUGACU